rnacentral:rRNA from 1 species
AGCGUAGGCGGGAGGUCAAGUCCGGUGUGAAAGACCCUGGCUCAACCAGGGAUGAGGGCUGGAAACUGACAAUCUUGAGUACAGCAGAGGAAGAGGGAAUUACCGGUGUAGGGGUGAAAUCCGUAGAGACCGGUAAGAAGGCCAGUGGCGAAGGUGGUUUUCUGGGCCGGUUCUGACACUGAUGCUCGAAAGCCAGGGGAGCGAACG